rnacentral:rRNA from 1 species
CCGAUAGUGAACCAGUACCGUGAGGGAAAGGCGAAAAGAACCCCGGCGAGGGGAGUGAAAAAGAACCUGAAACCGUGUACGUACAAGCAGUGGGAGCACAGGUUUACCUGUGUGACUGCGUACCUUUUGUAUAAUGGGUCAGCGACUUAUAUUCUGUAGCAAGGUUAACCGUAUAGGGGAGCCGUAGGGAAACCGAGUCUUAACCGGGCGUUAAGUUGCAGGGUAUAGACCCGAAACCCGGUGAUCUAGCCAUGGGCAGGUUGAAGGUUGGGUAACACUAACUGGAGGACCGAACCGACUAAUG